CAUGCAGUCGACGAGCUCUUCGGAGUUAGUGGCGGACGGGUGAGUAACACGUGGGAACGUGCCUUUAGGUUCGGAAUAACUCAGGGAAACUUGUGCUAAUACCGAAUGUGCCCUUCGGGGGAAAGAUUUAUCGCCUUUAGAGCGGCCCGCGUCUGAUUAGCUAGUUGGUGGUGUAAUGGACCACCAAGGCGACGAUCAGUAGCUGGUCUGAGAGGAUGAUCAGCCACAUUGGGACUGAGACACGGCCCAAACUCCUACGGGAGGCAGCAGUGGGGAAUCUUGCGCAAUGGGCGAAAGCCUGACGCAGCCAUGCCGCGUGAAUGAUGAAGGUCUUAGGAUUGUAAAAUUCUUUCACCGGGGACGAUAAUGACGGUACCCGGAGAAGAAGCCCCGGCUAACUUCGUGCCAGCAGCCGCGGUAAUACGAAGGGGGCUAGCGUUGCUCGGAAUUACUGGGCGUAAAGGGAGCGUAGGCGGACAUUUAAGUCAGGGGUGAAAUCCCGGGGCUCAACCUCGGAAUUGCCUUUGAUACUGGGUGUCUUGAGUAUGAGAGAGGUGUGUGGAACUCCGAGUGUAGAGGUGAAAUUCGUAGAUAUUCGGAAGAACACCAGUGGCGAAGGCGACACACUGGCUCAUUACUGACGCUGAGGA
rnacentral:rRNA from 1 species